rnacentral:rRNA from 1 species
GAUGAACGCUGGCGGCGUGCCUAAUACAUGCAAGUCGAGCGAACGGACGAGAAGCUUGCUUCUCUGAUGUUAGCGGCGGACGGGUGAGUAACACGUGGAUAACCUACCUAUAAGACUGGGAUAACUUCGGGAAACCGGAGCUAAUACCGGAUAAUAUUUUGAACCGCAUGGUUCAAAAGUGAAAGACGGUCUUGCUGUCACUUAUAGAUGGAUCCGCGCUGCAUUAGCUAGUUGGUAAGGUAACGGCUUACCAAGGCAACGAUGCAUAGCCGACCUGAGAGGGUGAUCGGCCACACUGGAACUGAGACACGGUCAGACUCCUACGGGAGGCAGCAGUAGGGAAUCUUCCGCAAUGGGCGAAAGCCUGACGGAGCAACGCCGCGUGAGUGAUGAAGGUCUUCGGAUCGUAAAACUCUGUUAUUAGGGAAGAACAUAUGUGUAAGUAACUGUGCACAUCUUGACGGUACCUAAUCAGAAAGCCACGGCUAACUACGUG